rnacentral:rRNA from 1 species
ACUCCUACGGGAGGCAGCAGUGGGGAAUAUUGCACAAUGGGCGAAAGCCUGAUGCAGCCAUGCCGCGUGAUUGAAGAAGGCCUUCGGAUCGUAAAGCACUUUCAGUAGGGAGGAAAGGUAGUAACUUAAUACGUUAUUGCUGUGACGGUAGCUACAGAGGAAGCACCGGCUAACUCCGUGCCAGCAGCCGCGGUAAUAC